GGCGACAUAGCUCAGUUGGUAGAGCACAUCACUCAUAUUGAUCGAGGUCAGAGGUUCGAGUCCUCUUGUCGCUACCA
rnacentral:tRNA from 1 species